rnacentral:rRNA from 1 species
CCAAGGUGAAGCCUCUGACUGGGACUAAGUCGUAACAAGGUACCCGUAGGUGAACCUGCAGAAAUCA